CCGGGUCUGUGCUGAGGAGAACGCAGCUCCGCCCUCGCAAAGGCACACAGCGCUGGCGCCGGCGAGGCGGAGAGGCGGCCAGCGGCGGAGAGGCGGACAGCGGCGGCGCGGCGGAGAGACGGACAGUGGCGGAGAGGCAGACAGCGGCGGCGAGGCGCGGAGAGGCGCUGGCGCCGGCUCUGGCGCGGAGAGGCGCAGGCCCAGGCUCCACUCCCCAGCUGUGAAAGGCUUCAACAUUGCUUUAUGGCAUGUGUGGUCGUUUUUCACUCCAUUGUUGUUGUUUACCCAGUUUAUGGGGGUUGUAAUGUUUAUCACACUCCUUGGAUGAUUUCCGAAGAUCACCCCAUCCUGAGAUCUGCUGCCUUACACAGUGGAGGCUGUUUUCUGAGUGUCGGAUAACUCUGUUAUUAAAUAAGUGCAUAUUGAGAAUACUCACUCCAGAUGCUUAGAGGCAUGUUGAGAAGGACAAAGAUAGUGCCUCCUGUCAGGUCACUUACAUCAGAACUUGCAGGAAACCUGCUUUAUACAGCAGUUGACAGGUGUGGAAAUUGAAGCUCAUGGAAAUGAAAGUUAAUACACUAAAUUUUCAAGGAGUUAAUGAAAACUGACAUUUCUGCUAAAAACAGCAUGUUCUCCCUGUGGGAUUUUAAAGGAAGGUCAAUGGUAACUGUACAAAGAAGAAAUGGACAUAGUCUCAUUGUUAGCAGUCUGAAAAUAGUUGCUAGCACCUCCAUGCCCACGCCAAUGUCUCCAGCCUCCUUCAAGCACCUUGCUGUGUCUUGGAACCAUUGGGAGCCCUCACAGGAGGCCCUUCGUUCCUGUAUGCAUGUGGUGCCACAAGCUGCUUUGGGCCCGGAGGAAUCCUACACAUCUCAGAACACUUCCUCACCUGACCCUGUCACCCAUCUCUCCCCUUCUCAUGUGCUCAGCCCCUUCUUUGACUCUUGAAUUUUGAGUUUUUACAGAUGUUUGGGAGCUCUUACUCUGACAUGAAUUUAUAAUUGUAAUGGAGACUCAGACAACGUUGUAGAUCACAGAGUGAACUAUGCUUUUUAGUGUUAAAUGCAAUAGCUUAAGAUAGAAUGUUUUACUUGUUACAUAAAUGCUGGUUUUCUUUCAGAUUUAAGGACAUAUACUUUAUUUUUUUAAGAGAUAGGGUCUUCUAUGUUGUCCAGGCUGGCUUUGAACUCCUGGGAUCAAGUGAUCCUCCUGCCUCAGCCUUCGAAGUAGUUGGGACUACAGGCCCACGCCACCGUGCAUGGCUGGACACGUAAAUUUGAAUUGAAUGGUUAAACAUCCAGCUAGCUGAAAGCAUGGCAGACCCUAACAGAAAAGCUACAGUGUGUUUUUGCAACUAUGAAGUGAAUGGUUUCCUGGGGAAAAUUGUGACUUUGUAUAACUAUUUUUGAAACCAGAAUAAAUUAUAUUUCACUUGCAUAUUCUUAAAUUAUUAAAAUUUUCAGAAGUCAGUGAUACAGAAAUACUAUUUUGCAAUGUUAAUCUGUUUGAGUCUUUGGAGAAAGUGGUUUCAUUGUAGGUACAUGAUGCACUCUUAAUAUUUUAAACAAAUAGUUCACUCUUCCAUUUAAGGGAUAUCAGUUCCUUGUAUAAAAUGACUGGAUAUGUAUAAAGCAAUUAUGUUGUCAUGUGCCUUUAACCAGCUUUAGUAAUUACUAUAAUCUCAUAUUUAUGAUAGUUUUGUUAGGUGACAGGACCAAAUGAAAAUAUUUUAUGUUUUCCCAUCACUUUAGAUUUUAUCAUUGUGUAAAUUACUGGGUUUUUAGCAUUUCCUAAUGUGAAGUUUUAAUCAUUUUUAAGUAUACAUAUUUUUUUUCUGUACCAUUUAAAUAAAAUAUUUUUAUAACUUUCUUGUGAGUUUUGUUCAUGCAAACUUUGGAAUGACUUCUGGUUUUUAGCUAUUAGCACUUUGAAUUAACCAUAGAAAUAACAAGGGCUAACUCUGUUCUUCAAAGACUUUAUAAAGACAGUAUUUGCACUUUCAAAUGCAAAUAUAUCUACAUUAAAUCUAAACAGCAUAAGCAUUGUGACAGAAUGUACCUCAUGUUGAUUGUUUUCUCUGUAAGGUGACUUCUAG
rnacentral:lncRNA from 1 species